GCUAAGCCGGAUGGCGAAACAUUACACUUGUUUGGUGAUAGGUGAGGCUCUACUAGUUGCCAAGUGGCUUGAGAGGCUCUAUCUAUGCGUUGGCGCGAGGGGAUUUGAGGCCACCCGUCGUAGUGGCAGGAAUUUUAGGCCUCUCGGUGACUGUAGCAUAGAAAACAGGGAGAGGGAGUUACAGGUGAGGCCCUCUCUAUGCAAC